ACAGUCUGACUCCAAUGUGAGUUGUGCCACACGAAGAAAGAGAAAUUUCAAUGUCUCCAGCAUUGCUAGGGUUUCCGCUUGCUCAGCCGAGGAGAUGGAUACGUUAUUUGCAAAGCCAUCAAUCAAAAUCCCGGUAGAAUUGCGACACACACAGCCGAUUAAACCUUCUUUUAACCCAGGUAAGUGCGCUGCAUCAAUAUUUAUUUUCAAUUCCCUUUUUUCUAGUGUAUCCCAUCUUUCUUCCUUCUGUGUUCUCAAAGAAGGCGCCUUUUUGUUUUAGCAAAGUUUAUGAGCAUUUGUAACCCUAAAUCCACCAUGGGCUUCGGAUCUGGAUGUGUCCUUUUGAAGACAAGGUUGUUUCUUGAAUUCCAGAUAUUCUAAAGCACUUGUCGAGAUUAAUUCAAAGAUCAUUUCACACCGAUCUCAACCAUUCGCAUAAAAGGAAUAUAUGUUCCAGGGUUUCGACAUGUGCUUGGCACAUUGGACACAAUGGAUCGGGUAUAUUCUUCAGCAAGGACUACCCAAGCAAUUUAAGAAGAAAGAUGGCCAACGAGCUGAGAGUUCCGGAGAUAGAAAAGACAAGGAAAUACCUUGGUAUCCCCUCAUAUUGGGGAGUAUCCAAGCAGCAAAUAUCUGCUUGAAUCUUGGCGAAGAAAAAUAUGAAGUUGGAAGGGUGAAAAGAGAACCCAGUGUCGAAAGCCAAGAAAGAAAUCCUUAUAAAAAUAGUGGUCCAAGCAUUAUCACGGUACGGAUAUCCAUUUUCAAGAUCCCCAUUUUCAAGAUUCCUAUUUCAAUAUGUUGGGCAACUGAACACUGAGUAAAUUGGUCAAUUAUGAGUCUCACAAACAAAACUUUGGCUAAAACAUGUGCUCUCUUUUACAAAAGCCCCGAUGAUGUUCAUUUUCAUUUAACAUAACUACUGCAAAUAACAAAAUAUAGUUAGUAAAACAAUUAGCGACGGAGCAAUCAAAUAUAAUUUCUUUAUAUCGACUUUGAAAAGGUCGUUUUUAUUUAAAUAUCAUGGAUCCUCUUCUAGAGGGACGCAUGUUACUAAUUCAAACGCGGUGGCUUUGGUGCUGAACAACAAACACGCUGGACUUCUUCAAAACCCUACCUAAAAGGUGACGCACAAAAAUAUAUUAAAUUCAUGCAAUGCUUGACAUAUCGUACGAGAGAUAUCCAUGAAAUUG